AGUGAACGCUGGCGGUAGGCCUAACACAUGCAAGUCGAACGGCAGCACAGGAGAGCUUGCUCUCUAGGUGGCGAGUGGCGGACGGGUGAGCAAUACAUCGGAAUCUGCCCAGUCGUGGGGGAUAACGUAGGGAAACUUACGCUAAUACCGCAUACGACCUUCGGGUGAAAGAGGGGGAUCGCAAGACCUCUCGCGAUUGGAUGAGCCGAUGUCGGAUUAGCUAGUUAGCGGGGUAAUGGCCCACCAAGGCGACGAUCCGUAGCUGGUCUGAGAGGAUGAUCAGCCACACUGGAACUGAGACACGGUCCAGACUCCUACGGGAGGCAGCAGUGGGGAAUAUUGGACAAUGGGCGCAAGCCUGAUCCAGCCAUACCGCGUGGGUGAAGAAGGCCUUCGGGUUGUAAAGCCCUUUUGUUGGGAAAGAAAUCUUUCAGGCUAAUACCCUGGGAGGAUGACGGUACCCAAAGAAUAAGCACCGGCUAACUUCGUG
rnacentral:rRNA from 1 species